rnacentral:rRNA from 1 species
UAAAGAGCUCGUAGGUGGUUUGUCGCGUUGUUCGUGAAAACUCACAGCUUAACUGUGGGCGUGCGGGCGAUACGGGCAGACUAGAGUACUGCAGGGGAGACUGGAAUUCCUGGUGUAGCGGUGGAAUGCGCAGAUAUCAGGAGGAACACCGGUGGCGAAGGCGGGUCUCUGGGCAGUAACUGACGCUGAGGAGCGAAAGCGUGGGGAGCGAACAGGAUUAGAUACCCUGGUAGUCCACGCCGUAAACGGUGGGUACUAGGUGUGGGUUCCUUCCUUGGGAUCCGUGCCGUAGCUAACGCAUUAAGUACCCCGCCUGGGGAGUACGGCCGCAAGGCUAAAACUCAAAGGAAUUGACGGGGGCCCGCACAAGCGGCGGAGCAUGUGGAUUAAUUCGAUGCAACGCGAAGAACCUUACCUGGGUUUGACAUGCACAGGACGCCGGCAGAGAUGUCGGUUCCCUUGUGGCCUGUGUGCAGGUGGUGCAUGGCUGUCGUCAGCUCGUGUUGUGAGAUGUUGGGUUAAGUCCCGCAACGAGCGCAACCCUUGUCCUAUGUUGCCAGCGGGUUAUGCCGGGGACUCGUAGGAGACUGCCGGGGUCAACUCGGAGGAAGGUGGGGAUGACGUCAAGUCAUCAUGCCCCUUAUGUCCAGGGCUUCACACAUGCUACAAUGGCCGGUACAAAGGGCUGCGAUGCCGUGAGGUGGAGCGAAUCCUUUCAAAGCCGGUCUCAGUUCGGAUCGGGGUCUGCAACUCGACCCCGUGAAGUCGGAGUCG